GCAGGGCCCAAGAGAGAGCGUGCCCAAUCUGGCCUUAGGAGUGUCCUCUAUCUCUCCCUGAUUCUGCGCUCUCGCAAGUCAACCGAUCUCACAAAAAUUUCCCCUUCCCCUUCCCCUUCCCUUUCACUUCCACUUCCACCUUUUAAUUCCCAACCCGUCGUAUGCCUCCCCACGGCCUGUCUUCUUGAUCCGUCUAACAAAUCUGCCGAUCUCCUACGCUCCCAUUCCCGCCGCCGCUAGCACAUGUAGUUGCCCCGAUAGCCGGAUGGCUGCUCGACUCCUUCCACCUGUUGGUUGAUCGAUUCGAGAGGAAGAGAUGAGAAGAUAUGACGUGUGGCGACUAUGGGGGGCAGAAGGCAGGACAGCAUGGCCAAAUGUGAUGGCGGCUGUGAGGGGGUUGAGGAAGAUGUGAGCAAACGGAUGUGGUGAGGUUUAAUUUAUUAAUCGCUAAUCUCAGCUAGCGUUUCACCGAAUUAAGUCGUUUCCUCUUUUUGUUCCCACUGGUUUGGUCUUCGAAGCUGUACAUCUAGCCAUUCUCAACUUGCUUAGAGUCCUACAAGUCCUGUUUCAUCUUCUAAUGUCUUGGCUAUGGAAGCACGCCUGUGUUUGAUCUGUUGUGUGAGUAUUCUUGGUUCUCUGUUGACACCAAAUAGUGUUCGUGUAUGAACAUUUUUAAUAUUCUGUAGCUGUCUACAUGUUAUAUACAUACAGGUACGUGUACGUCUAACUAACUCUCAAACAUAUUUUGGAUUCUUUGAUCUACAUAUCCAUGCCUCACCCCAGUUAAUUGAUGGAAGGUAAUUUUUAAUCUUAGCCGGAACCAGGUCGUUCCACCGAAUUGGUUCCUUUUGAUUUUCUCAUAUACUGAAGUGGUAGACUGUGAAACUUAUGGGCUGAUAGAUAGGAGAGCCUGCAGGUGGACGACGGGGUGAGGUGCUAAUAAAUCCUGAGAACUGUCGAAGAGAGGACACCUCAGUGGCGAGGGAGCAAGCCUCCCGAUUUACACUGGAGCGACGCACUGCUCAAUCCUGGUAGCCCACCGAUGAAGUCGUUUCCUCUUUUUGUUCCCGCUGGUUUGGUCUUCGAAGCUGUACGUCUAGCCAUUCUCAACUUGCUUAGAGUCCUACAAGUCCCGUUUCAUCUUCUAAUGUCUUGGCUGUGGUAGCACGCCUGUGUUGAUAUGUUGUGCCUGCCAACUGUAGCAGUUCAUUGGAUGAGACACGGUAGUCCGAGUCUUUGCCUGGAAGUGCUUCGACCGUCGAUCUACGAUCUGGUGGCUACGAGAAGAACUUACAGGUUCGCUGCUGAGAGUGCCCACAACCGUCGAUCGUCAUCUGGACGGCUGGAGUCGUCGCGCGUUACUUUUUAAAAGUUACCGCGAUGUCUUUUACCUGUCGAACAUGUCGCUUUCUACUUUCUCUGAAUAUCCCUUUAUAAACCCUCCUCCGGUUUGUGGAGAGGGCAUUCUGGAUUAUUCUGGGCUUGGCCCUUGUAGCCGCCGUGUUCCGGCUGGCAAAACCCUAGCUACCUUGCUUCAGAUUUGAAUGAAUCGAGCCCCAAAA